CCCAAAAGGAUCGCAGGCGACUUGGUCAGACUUCCGGGAAAGUGACGGCUUGUCCGCUGGGCUUUCGGGGGACCUACCAGGCUUGGGACCGGGAGAGGUAAGAGGUACUACGGGGGUAGGAGUGAAAUCUUGAAAUCCUCGUGGAACCACCAUUGGUUGAGGCGUCUUACCUGAACGCUUUCCACGGUGAAAAACUAAAGCUGGGGCUGCAAACCGGAUUAGAUACCCGGGUAGUCCCAACCGUAAACGAUGCUCGCUAGGUGUUCCGCAUCGUGCGACCGUGACUGGUGCCGCUCGGAAGCCCGGAAGCGAGCCGCCUGGUAAGUUCAGUCGCAGGGGUGAAACUUAAUAGAAUUGGAGGCGGAGCACUACAACGGAAGGAGCCUGCGAUUUAAUUGGACUCAACGCCGGAAAACUCACCGGGGGCGACAGCUGUUGGUAUUUUUCGCUAAAGACUUUCCCCCAGACGAUGAGAGGAGGUGCAUGGCCGUCGUCAGUUCGUACUGUGAAGCAUCCUGUUAAGUCAGGCAACGAGCGAGACCCCUGCCCACUGUUGCCAGCAUAUCUCUUGGGCAUGAUGGGCACUCUGCGGGAACCGCGUAUGCUUUUCCCCAUGAAGGAGCGGUGUACCUUACGUCAGUAUGCCCCGAAUCUCCCGGGCUACACGCGUACUACAAUGACUGGGACAAUGGGCUCCUGCCCCGAGAGGGGAUGGUAAUCUCAUACUCCCACCCAUAGUUCGGAUCGAGGGCUGAAACCCGCCCUCGUGAAGCUGGAAUCCGUAGUAAUCGCGUUUCAACUGAUCGCGGGAUUUACAUACCUGCUCCUUGCACCCACGGUCCGU
rnacentral:rRNA from 1 species